rnacentral:rRNA from 1 species
GAUAAACGCUGGCGGCGUGCUUAACACAUGCAAGUCGAACGAUGAAGCCCAGCUUGCUGGGUGGAUUAGUGGCGAACGGGUGAGUAACACGUGAGUAACCUGCCCUUAACUCUGGGAUAAGCCUGGGAAACUGGGUCUAAUACCGGAUAGGAGCGUCCACCGCAUGGUGGGUGUUGGAAAGAUUUAUCGGUUUUGGAUGGACUCGCGGCCUAUCAGCUUGUUGGUGAGGUAAUGGCUCACCAAGGCGACGACGGGUAGCCGGCCUGAGAGGGUGACCGGCCACACUGGGACUGAGACACGGCCCAGACUCCUACGGGAGGCAGCAGUGGGGAAUAUUGCACAAUGGGCGCAAGCCUGAUGCAGCGACGCCGCGUGAGGGAUGACGGCCUUCGGGUUGUAAACCUCUUUCAGUAGGGAAGAAGCGAAAGUGACGGUACCUGCAGAAGAAGCACCGGCUAACUACGUG